rnacentral:rRNA from 1 species
CUGGCUCAGGACGAACGCUGGCGGCGUGCCUAAUACAUGCAAGUCGAACGGUCUUUCUAUGGAAGCUUGCUUCCACUGAGAAGAUAGUGGCGAACGGGUGAGUAACACGUGGGUAACCUGCCCAUAAGAGGGGGAUAACAUCCGGAAACGGGUGCUAAUACCGCAUAGUUUUCUUGAUCGCAUGAUCGGGAAAGGAAAGACGGCCUUUGUGCUGUCGCUUAUGGAUGGACCCGCGGCGUAUUAGUUAGUUGGUGAGGUAACGGCUCACCAAGACGAUGAUACGUAGCCGACCUGAGAGGGUGAUCGGCCACAUUGGGACUGAGACACGGCCCAAACUCCUACGGGAGGCAGCAGUAGGGAAUCUUCCGCAAUGGACGAAAGUCUGACGGAGCAACGCCGCGUGAGUGAAGAAAGGUUUUCGGAUCGUAAAACUCUGUUGUCAGAGAAGAACAAGUUGGAGAGUAACUGCUCCAGCCUUGACGGUAUCUGACCAGAAAGCCACGGCUAACUACGUGCCAGCAGCCGC